GCCUGAUGCAGCGACGCCGCGUGCGGGAUGACGGCCUUCGGGUUGUAAACCGCUUUCAGCAGGGAAGAAGCUUUUGUGACGGUACCUGCAGAAGAAGCGCCGGCUAACUACGUGCCAGCAGCCGCGGUAAUACGUAGGGCGCGAGCGUUAUCCGGGAAUUAUUGGGCGUAAAGGGCUCGCAGGCGGUUUGCCACGUCUGCUGUGAAAGCCCGGGGCUUAACUCCGGGUGUGCAGUGGGUACGGGUAGACUAGAGUGCAGUAGGGGAGACUGGAAUUCCUGGUGUAGCGGUGAAAUGCGCAGAUAUCAGGAAGAACACCGAUGGCGAAGGCAGGUCUCUGGGCUGUUACUGACGCUGAGGAGCGAAAGCAUGGGGAGCGAACAGGAUUAGAUACCCUGGUAGUCCAUGCCGUAAACGUUGGGCACUAGGUGUGGGGAACAUUCCACGUUUUCCGCGCCGUAGCUAACGCAUUAAGUGCCCCGCCUGGGGAGUACGGCCGCAAGGCUAAAACUCAAAGGAAUUGACGGGGGCCCGCACAAGCGGCGGAGCAUGCGGAUUAAUUCGAUGCAACGCGAAGAACCUUACCAAGGCUUGACAUGGACCGGAUCGCUGCAGAGAUGUAGUUUCCCUUCGGGGCUGGUUCACAGGUGGUGCAUGGUUGUCGUCAGCUCGUGUCGUGAGAUGUUGGGUUAAGUCCCGCAACGAGCGCAACCCUUGUCCUAUGUUGCCAGCACGUAGUGGUGGGGACUCAUGGGAGACUGCCGGGGUCAACUCGGAGGAAGGUGGGGAUGACGUCAAAUCAUCAUGCCCCUUAUGUCUUGGGCUUCACGCAUGCUACAAUGGCCGGUACAGUGGGUUGCGAUACUGUGAGGUGGAGCUAAUCCCUAAAAGCCGGUCUCAGUUCGGAUCGAAGUCUGCAACUCGACUUCGUGAAGUUGGAGUCGCUAGUAAUCGCAGAUCAGCAAUGCUGCGGUGAAUACGUUCCCGGGCCUUGUACACACCGCCCGUCAAGUCACGAAAGUCGGUAACACCCGAAGCUCACGGCCCAACCCCUUUGUGGGAGGGAGUGGUCGAAGGUGGGACCGGCGAUUGGGACUAAGU
rnacentral:rRNA from 1 species